GAAGAAUUCUCCCUUCUCUUCUUUCUCUGUCAGACCAAGGCUGAUUUCCUGGGCUGAAGGUAUGGCACUGAGAAGACUUCUGCUCCUUUUGGCAGGUUUGGCCCAAAUCUGUGGAACUUGUCAUUUAAGUUCCCGGGGGAAGAGUUUUGUUACU